AACCGUAGUAAUUCUAGAGCUAAUACAUGCUGUUGCGCUGUGCGUAGUAUUUAUUAGAUAAGCCAAUGUGGAGGACUCAUGAUAACUUUGCGGACCCCUUUUGGGGCGAAGCAUUCAAGUUUCUGCCCUAUCAGCUUGGAUGGUAGUGUAUUGGACUACCAUGGCGAUGACGGGUAACGGGGAAUUAGGGUUCGAUUCCGGAGAGGGAGCCUGAGAAACGGCUACCACAUCUAAGGAAGGCAGCAGGCGCGCAAAUUACCCAAUCCUAAUUCAGGGAGGUAGUGACAAGAAAUAACAACGCGGGGCUUUGCCUCGCGAUUGCAAUGAGUACAAUGUAAAAGCCUUAACGAGGACCCACUGGAGGGCAAGUCUGGUGCCAGCAGCCGCGGUAAUACCAGCUCCAGUAGCGUAUAUUAAAGUUGUUGCAGUUAAAAAGCUCGUAGUUGAAGCUCUGUACCUGUUUGAGCGCUCUCUGAGUGCAAAAACUGGUGCAUUCGCCUGAAUAGUAUGCGGGUAUUGAGUUACUUUGCAUAUGAUCAGGCACUUUACCUUGAAGAAAAAUUAGAGUGUUCCAGGCAGGCUUGGGCCUGAAUAGUACAGCAUGGAAUAAUAGAAGAGGACUGAGCCUCAGAGUUGGUGCUUGAGGCCUANGUAAUGAUUANUAGGGACAGUUGGGGGCAUUCGUAUUUAAUUGUCAGAGGUGAAAUUCUAUGAUUAAUUAAAGACGAACCUAUGCGAAAGCAUUUGCCAAGGAUGUUUUCAUUAAUCAAGAACGAAAGUUNAGGGGAUCAAAGGACGA
rnacentral:rRNA from 1 species